rnacentral:ncRNA from 1 species
CACCACCCAUCACUACUACCAAUUGGAUGGUUUAGUGAGGUCCUUGGAUCGGCCCCGCCGGGGUCGGUCAUGGCCCUGGCAAGCGCCGAGAAGACGGUCGAACUUGACUAUCUAGAGGAAGUAAAAGUCGUAACAAGGUUUCUGUAGGUGAACCUGCGGAAG